AGGACGAACGCUGGCGGCGUGCUUAACACAUGCAAGUCGAACGGAAAGGCCCUUCGGGGUACUCGAGUGGCGAACGGGUGAGUAACACGUGGGUGAUCUGCCCUGCACUUUGGGAUAAGCCUGGGAAACUGGGUCUAAUACCGAAUAGGACCACGGGAUGCAUGUCCUGUGGUGGAAAGCUUUUGCGGUGUGGGAUGGGCCCGCGGCCUAUCAGCUUGUUGGUGGGGUGAUGGCCUACCAAGGCGACGACGGGUAGCCGGCCUGAGAGGGUGUCCGGCCACACUGGGACUGAGAUACGGCCCAGACUCCUACGGGAGGCAGCAGUGGGGAAUAUUGCACAAUGGGCGCAAGCCUGAUGCAGCGACGCCGCGUGGGGGAUGACGGCCUUCGGGUUGUAACCCGUUUCAGUAGGACGAGCGCAGUGACGGUACCUACAGAGAAGCACCGGCCAACUACGCGCCAGCACGCCGC
rnacentral:rRNA from 1 species